rnacentral:rRNA from 1 species
AGAGUUUGAUCCUGGCUCAGAUUGAACGCUGGCGGCAUGCCUUACACAUGCAAGUCGAACGGCAGCACGGGAGCAAUCCUGGUGGCGAGUGUCGAACGGGUGAGUAAUAUAUCGGAACGUGCCCAGUCGUGGGGGAUAACGCAGCGAAAGCUGUGCUAAUACCGCAUACGAUCUCUGGAUGAAAGCGGGGGACUCGCAAGAGCCUCGCGCGAUUGGAGCGGCCGAUAUCAGAUUAGCUAGUUGGCGGGGUAAAAGCCCACCAAGGCGACGAUCUGUAGCUGGUCUGAGAGGACGACCAGCCACACUGGAACUGAGACACGGUCCAGACUCCUACGGGAGGCAGCAGUGGGGAAUUUUGGACAAUGGGCGCAAGCCUGAUCCAGCAAUGCCGCGUGCAGGAUGAAGGCCUUCGGGUUGUAAACUGCUUUUGUACGGAACGAAACGGUCGCCUCUAAUAAAGGUGGCUAAUGACGGUACCGUAAGAAUAAGCACCGGCUAACUACGUGCCAGCAGCCGCGGUAAUACGUAGGGUGCGAGCGUUAAUCGGAAUUACUGGGCGUAAAGCGUGCGCAGGCGGUGAUGUAAGACAGAUGUGAAAUCCCCGGGCUCAACCUGGGACCUGCAUUUGUGACUGCAUCGCUAGAGUACGGUAGAGGGGGAUGGAAUUCCGCGUGUAGCAGUGAAAUGCGUAGAUAUGCGGAGGAACACCGAUGGCGAAGGCAAUCCCCUGGACCUGUACUGACGCUCAUGCACGAAAGCGUGGGGAGCAAACAGGAUUAGAUACCCUGGUAGUCCACGCCCUAAACGAUGUCAACUGGUUGUUGGGUCUUUACUGACUCAGUAACGAAGCUAACGCGUGAAGUUGACCGCCUGGGGAGUACGGCCGCAAGGUUGAAACUCAAAGGAAUUGACGGGGACCCGCACAAGCGGUGGAUGAUGUGGUUUAAUUCGAUGCAACGCGAAAAACCUUACCCACCUUUGACAUGUACGGAAGCCUUUAGAGAUAGAGGCGUGCUCGAAAGAGAGCCGUAACACAGGUGCUGCAUGGCUGUCGUCUCGUGUCGUGAGAUGUUGGGUUAAGUCCCGCAACGAGCGCAACCCUUGUCAUUAGUUGCUACAUUCAGUUGGGCACUCUAAUGAGACUGCCGGUGACAAGCCGGAGGAAGGUGGGGAUGACGUCAAGUCCUCAUGGCCCUUAUAGGUGGGGCUACACACGUCAUACAAUGGCUGGUACAAAGGGUUGCCAACCCGCGAGGGGGAGCUAAUCCCACAAAGCCAGUCGUAGUCCGGAUCGUAGUCUGCAACUCGACUACGUGAAGUCGGAAUCGCUAGUAAUCGUGGAUCAGAAUGUCACGGUGAAUACGUUCCCGGGUCUUGUACACACCGCCCGUCACACCAUGGGAGCGGGUUCUGCCAGAAGUAGUUAGCUUAACCGCAAGGAGGGCGAUUACCACGGCAGGGUUCGUGACUGGGGU